UACGUAGGGUGCGAGCGUUAAUCGGAAUUACUGGGCGUAAAGCGUGCGCAGGCGGUUAUGUAAGACAGUUGUGAAAUCCCCGGGCUCAACCUGGGAAUUGCAUCUGUGACUGCAUAGCUAGAGUACGGUAGGAGGGGGAUGGAAUUCCGCGUGUAGCAGUGAAAUGCGUAGAUAUGCGGAGGAACACCGAUGGCGAAGGCAACUCCCCGUGGACCUGUACUGACGCUCAUGCACGAAAGCGUGGGGAGCAAACAGGAUUACGAAA
rnacentral:rRNA from 1 species